AUUGAACGCUGGCGGCAGGCCUAACACAUGCAAGUCGAGCGAGCGGCGGACGGGUGAGUAAUGUAUGGGGACUGCCCGAUAGAGGGGGAUAACUACUGGAAACGGUAGCUAAUACCGCAUACUAUCGGAUAACCCAUAUGGGAUUAGCUAGUUGGUGAGGUAAUGGCUCACCAAGGCGACGAUCCCUAGCUGGUCUGAGAGGAUGAUCAGCAGAACUGGGACUGAGACACGGCCCAGACUCCUACGGAGGAGGCAGUGGGGAAAAUUGCACAAGGAGCGCAAGCCUGAUGCAGCCAGGCCGCGUGUAGGAUGAAGGCCCUGGGGUUGUAAAAUACUUUCAGACGGGAGGCGUUAACGACAGAAGAAGCACCGGCUAACUCCGUGCCAGCAGCCGCGGUAAUAC
rnacentral:rRNA from 1 species